GGAGGAGGAAGGGCAGCCUUUGCCAGCAUUGCCCUCUUUUAAGAAUAAAAACUACAUAUGUGCUGCUAUGAUAAGAGUGAUAUAGCAGACAGUUGUCCUUGGGGAGUGGAGUUCGACCCACCUAAUACAUCUCACAAAGGCCGACAAACAUCUUCAGAUCUCAGUAACUCCCCAUCAUAACUUAGCUGCACUAGAUUUGAACUGACAACUUUGAAGAAGGAUUCUCCAUAUCCAAUUACCCAGGUCCCUGAUGAGCUCCAUGUUUAUCUGAAAGCUUUGCCUUCUGAAGGAUUUCUUCCCUCCCAACUUCAGCUGGGUUGCAGCUUGCCUGCACUCCCUUCUAUCAAAUAAAACUUUUAUUCCAUUA